GGAGGAGAGACUGUCUGGUAGUUAAGGCACUAGACUGGGACUCAGAAGAUCUGGGUUCAAUUCCUGGCUCCUCCA
rnacentral:tRNA from 1 species